rnacentral:rRNA from 1 species
AUUGAACGCUGGCGGCAGGCCUAACACAUGCAAGUCGAACGAGUGGCGGACGGGUGAGUAAUGUCUGGGAAACUGCCUGAUGGAGGGGGAUCACUACUGGAAACGGUAGCUAAUACCGCAUACAAUCAGAUGUGCCCAGAUGGGAUUAGAUAGUUGGUGGGGUAACGGCUUACCAAGGCGACGAUCCAUAGCUGUUCUGAGAGGAUGACCAGCCACACUGGAACUAGGACACGGUCCAGACUCCUACGGGAAGCAGCAGUGGGGAAUAUUGCACAAUGGGCGCAAGCCUGAUGCAGCCAUGCCGCGUGUAUGAAGAAGGUCUUCGGGUUGUAAAGUACUUUCAUCGGGGAGGCGUUACCCGCAGAGGAAGCACCGGCUAACUCCGUGCCAGCAGCCGCGGUAAUAC